UACAGCGGUCUCAAGCGUUGUUCGGAUUCAUUGGGCGUAAAGGGUGCGUAGGCGGCGCGGUAAGUCGGGUGUGAAAUCUCGGAGCUUAACUCCGAAACUGCAUUCGAUACUGCCGUGCUUGAGGACUGGAGAGGAGACUGGAAUUUACGGUGUAGCGGUGAAAUGCGUAGAUAUCGUAAGGAAGACCAGUGGCGAAGGCGGGUCUCUGGACAGUUCCUGACGCUGAGGCGCGAAAGCCAGGGGAGCAAACGGG
rnacentral:rRNA from 1 species